UGAUGCAGCGACGCCGCGUGAGGGAUGACGGCCUUCGGGUUGUAAACCUCUUUCAGAAGGGACGAGGCGCAAGUGACGGUACCUGCAGAAGAAGCACCGGCUAACUACGUGCCAGCAGCCGCGGUAAUACGUAGGGUGCAAGCGUUGUCCGGAAUUACUGGGCGUAAAGAGUUCGUAGGCGGUUUGUCGCGUCGUUUGUGAAAACCAGCAGCUCAACUGCUGGCUUGCAGGCGAUACGGGCAGACUUGAGUACUGCAGGGGAGACUGGAAUUCCUGGUGUAGCGGUGAAAUGCGCAGAUAUCAGGAGGAACACCGGUGGCGAAGGCGGGUCUCUGGGCAGUAACUGACGCUGAGGAACGAAAGCGUGGGUAGCGAACAGGAUUAGAUACCCUGGUAGUCCACGCCGUAAACGGUGGGCGCUAGGUGUGGGUUCCUUCCACGGAAUCCGUGCCGUAGCUAACGCAUUAAGCGCCCCGCCUGGGGAGUACGGCCGCAAGGCUAAAACUCAAAUGAAUUGACGGGG
rnacentral:rRNA from 1 species